UCGGCUCUACCAACGGUAGCUGCACCAGAGGGACCUGACCAUCCACGAGGCCGAAGAGCUGUGGCUCCGAGACUGGCACGAGGACAGCAGGCUCCUCGGCUUUAAAAACACAGCCAGGGUCGGAGAGGUCUUUGGAAAGUUAUUCUCGGAGGGGCAGAGACGCUUCUUCCUGCGGACGGCAGUGCUGGCCAUGCACAACCCCCGGCUGCGUGUCAGCCAGGCUGGGCUGCUCCUCACUUACUCCCU